ensembl:rRNA 5S_rRNA 5S ribosomal RNA
CUGGACUGUCAGAUUGCCCUGAACGCGCCUGAUCUUGUUUGAUCUCGGAAGCUAAGCAGGGUCGGGCCUGGUUAGUACUUGGAUGGGAGAAAUACAUUAGUCUUCUUAGCAUUGCUAAAAGUCCAGA